UACGUAGGGUGCGAGCGUUAAUCGGAAUUACUGGGCGUAAAGCGUGCGCAGGCGGUUUUGUAAGCCAGAUGUGAAAUCCCCGGGCUUAACCUGGGAAUGGCAUUUGGGACUGCAAGGCUGGAGUGUGGCAGAGGAGACUGGAAUUCCUGGUGUAGCAGUGAAAUGCGUAGAUAUCAGGAGGAAUACCGAUGGCGAAGGCAGGUCUCUGGGCUGAACACUGACGCUCAUGCACGAAAGCGUGGGGAGCAAACAGGG
rnacentral:rRNA from 1 species